CAGAUACAUGUGCGCAUGCACGUGUACACACAUGCAUGCAUACACACAUGCAUUUGUAGAUAUAUGUGUAGGUGUGUACACACAACAUACACAUAUGCAUCCACACAUACACAUAUACAUAUGAGGUGGCACGUUCAGCUUUCAAGAGGACCAUCAGGGACUUUGUCACCUUGACAACUUUAGCCUUGCCUUCUAGUCACCUUGCCGGAACACUUGUGCCCGUGUUUUUCUAGCACUGUCAUAAGAAUACUUUUACCUAUCAAGGCAACUGGGGGUUAGGAGAGCUUUUUGCACAGGAGGCUACUUGGCUUUGUUUGAAAACUGAUGAUACAUGAGGAUUGGGGUGGUGAAUCACUCACAUGUUUCUUCAUAUGAAAAAUGAGGACUGUGGGAUUCUCUGGCUGGAUCUCAGCACCUAGAAAUGGAUCUGGGCAAUAGGAACUGCUCAGUAUUAGCUACCGCUUUGGUUGCCUUCUCCUUGCGGAAAGCUGGCCUCUCACACUGAAUUUGUAUCAUAGGCACUCAUGAGGGUCUUGACUGUAUCAAUAUCUGAUGAGAGAUUUUAGUGCAGUUCUGUUAUCGUGGCUGAUUUGCUCAUUUGGUAGCUAGCAUCCAGCUUCUUGUGAACAUUAAAAUAAAAUAAAAUAGAUUAUGGAGGAAUAGAAUACAGAUACGUAGUAAGGUAUUAUUUUCCAGACAAAAUGGAUUUGGAUAAAAGAAUCUAAUUAAGAACUUGUGCAUGAUUCUUUUAAAAUUCUUUUGAAUCCAUUUUUUUUUUUUUGGCCUGUUUUCAAGUCUCCGAUUUUUGUCACCCUUCUCACACCAGGUCAGAGAGAUAGCUAAUGGUCAGAAGGAAUCUUCCAGCAAUGACCAUAGCGCUUUCUCCUGCCUGCAGAUGCCUCUUUUUAUUCAGCCUUUAUGGGAAGUAGCAGCACCAUCCAGUUCUCAGAGAGCAAGCUCUGGAGUAACUGAGCUAACCCCAGUUACCCCAGUGGAUUUACAGAUUGAGGUUACAACCCAGCAGGGUUCUCUUCCUGGAAAGAAUAGCCUUCCCUCUAAGGUUUCAAAUAGACCCUGGGUGAGGAAGGAGCCCUAAACAGCUUGAAAAAUUGAAUGCUCUUUGGGCAAAGCAGGAAGCCGUCCUAUGGAAGAGCAUCAUUUGAGCAUAAAUCAGGUUAUCAGGACAAACAGAGUGUUCAGGAGGUCAAGAUGGUUAAGCAGAGACCCUGACCAGAAUGUCCGUGGCGGAGAGAAACAAUCUUGUUGGGAAAAGGAUGACAAUAAUUGGGGACUUAGAAUAAAGGCUAAAAAUGAUUCAAAGAGAAUGCAAAAAGAAUCAGGCACAAAUCGUUUACUAUACUCUGUUAUGCAAAUCUCACCUUACUAUGUGUUUGUAUUCUAUUCCUCCACAAUCUUUAUUUUAUUUUAAUGUUCAAAGAGACUUGUAGGUGCCAAUUAAAUGAACAAAACAGCCAGAGACAACAGAACUGCCCUAAAAAAAGUCCCGCAUCAGCUCUUGAGAGCAGGUUCCUUAAAGGUGAACAAUAUUCCACAUACAAGGACUUUUUCAGCACCAUGCAUUAGAAAUGGAAGUGAAUGUUUAUUAUUUUUUGUAUAAGUUGGUUGAUAUGGCUUUUCAGCUUCCCUCAGUAUCAUUAUCCAAAUUUUGUAGAUGACACUAAAGCUCAGAGGAGUUAAACCAUUUUCCUUAAAUCACAUAGCUUUAAAUAGGAAAACCAGAUAUGAAAAGCAGAUUUUUUUUCUAAAUUAAAAAACCAAAAACAAAAACACGUGAGCUCUUGCUUUACCCUAGCACAUAGUCUUGCCAUCUGUUUUCUCCACACCAGGUGAUUCCUGUAACAUUCAUUCACAUAACAAAUACAAAUAAAUGAGUGGAUUCAUUCAUCAGAUAUUAAUUCAGAAUCCCUUUUGUGCCUUCCAGAAAUCUGGACCAUCUCACAACCCCCAGAGAGUCUCAGCUACAAGGAACAAGUGAUAAUGCCAUCCCACUUUUAUAAACACACACACACACACAUGCAAUACACACACAAUCAUUUAAUCAUUUUUAAUUAUUUAAUUAUUUUUUAAAAAUCAGUGACACUUUAGCUGGGCAGGUCUAGAUAGGUCUUCUUUGCUGGGACGUGUCUUUUUCUGUCCUGGAAUACCCUAAACUUCACAUUUUGGCAGCGUGAGUUUUCCCUUUGUGACUUUCUCCUUCUUCCCUUUUUUCCUCCUUCUUUGCAGAGAAUGAGUAGCCACUGCACCUUGCCCUGCGCCAUCAAUGAGAAGAUCUGCUCUUAGUAGAGCCCUGCUUUCCCGCUGAAGGCCCUGAAAUCACCUGUGUUCCAGGCCACCCACUAAGGAUAAACAAAGCUUCCCUGAUAUGGGGAAUUAGCUCAAGUGGUAGAGCGCUUGCUUAGCAUGCAAGAGGUAGUGGGAUCAAUGCCCACAUUCUCCAAGCUUUAUUAUUUAGGUACCCAAACCCGAGUCAGUGUCUGAGAGCAAGACACUGCUCUCGGUGUCUUUGGUUCAAGACAUAGGAGCAGCAACAAUACAGGACUGGUGACAGCUUCCUGCUGGCAUUCAGUAUAGUGUAGAUCUACUGUGUAAUUAAUUUUCUGUUUCUUCGAGGAGCUGUGAAACCAAAGGACAUAUAAAACUGCUCUUUUCUCCCUGUUUCUGCCUGCAGCUUGGUCCUAAAUGUGAGACAAUUGUGAAAAGUGGAGGACAGAGCCACCUGGUUAAAUACAGCCCCAGCUUUCUGGUGAGAGGACUGAAACCAAGAUGUGUCAAGUAACUAGAAUGUGCCUGGACAGAUACUGUAGAAAGCAAAACCAUAAAGUUGUUCAUGAGCUUGUGGACGCACCUGCCAGCUGUGAAUAAGUGGCUCUAAUCCCGAACAACUUACCUAAAAAGAGCCUGAGAGCUGAACUGUGCAAUGGCCCACUUUCCAGUCCUCACUGACCACUGGGUUGCACACACUUUGGAGAUCUCUGAACAGCAGUGUCAAGGCUUUCAAAUAGAGUUAUCUUUGAAACGACAACACAUGAAAGUCUGGUUGGUACUUGGAGCUUAAAUACAAGGCAAUUGUGUGCCUGCAAAAACAAAAAUAGCAAUAUUAUCCUUAAGAUUUCAACAAGACACAGUGUCUCAUCACAUAAUCCAAAGAAGUCCAGGUUACAAGCCCCACAAUAUUCAGCAUUAUGAAAAAACAGGGAGAUCUUAAUUCACAUGGCAAAGAGAAUCCUCGAAUAACAAUAUUGAGAGGACACAGAUGUCAAAAUCAUCUGACACAUACAUUAAAGCAGAUAUUAUAACAAUGCUCCUAGAAUCGGGGAUAACAUUCGUGAAGUGAAUGGAAAGUUGGAAAGUCUCACCAAAUAUUUCGAAUACAUAAACACCAAUUUAAACUUAAGAAUUAAAAAAAUGUAUUAACCAAAACUCUUAGGGGAAAUAAAAAGCUUAAUUGGAGGAUCUCCAUAAUCGAAUGCAGAAGACUAAGGAAAAAGUCAAUGAACUUGAAAACAGAACACGAAUACCUACAUAAUCUGAACUAUAGAGAGAAAGGAGGAUUUUAUUGUCUCUGAACAGAGGCUCAGGCACAAAUAAAAAAUAACAAAUCCAACAUUCACAUUAUUGUAAUCUGGAAAGAAGAGGACAAAGUGGUCUUUGUGGGAUAAAACUUUGAACAAUUAAUAGCUGAAAAUGGUUCAAAUUUGUCAAAAGAUAUAAACCAGAUUUUUAAAGUUCAGUAAAUGUCAAUCAGGAUAAACCCAAAGAAACCCAUAGCAAGGCAUAUCAUAAUCAAACUGCUGAAAACUAAGAAAAUACAAAACAAUUUUGAAAGCAGCCAAAGGGAAAUGAAAGAGAAACUACCAAAUGAAUGAUUGUAGAUUUCGCAUCAGGAACCAUAGGGGCCAGAAAAAAUGUCAUAACAUUCGGUAAGUAACAAAAGAAAAAGACAUAUCGACCCAGAAUGCUAUGUGGAGCAAAAGUAUCUUCCAGACAUAAAGGCAAAUAAAUGCAUUCUCAGUGGAAGGUAAGUAAAUACAUUCUCAUUCUUAGGAAGACUGCUGGAAAAGAAUUAGCAAAGAUUUGAGAUAAGAAAAAUGAUACCAGAAGGAAACUUAGAACAUCAUCAGUGAAGGAACAAAAGCAGAAAUAGAACAUGUCUGGGUAGACAUAACAGACUAUUAUUCUUCCCUUGAGUUCCUUAAGGAGACUACGGAAAAGAAGAGUGACUAAGAUCUCUGAAGAAGGGAAAAGCUAGAUGACUGGGCCACAAGAGGAAAAAAAGCAGCAAGACAGUUACAAUUGUUUCUGGUCCCACUUUUAUAAACACACACACACACACACACACACACACACACACACACAAAAUCAUUUAAUCAUUUUUAAGUAUUUAAUCAUUUUUUAAAAAUCUGUGAUGCUUUACCUGGGCAUGUCUAGGCAGGUCCUCCUUUGCUAGGACGUGCCCUUUUCUGUCCCGGAAUACUCUAAACUUGGCAUUUUGGCAGCGUGAAGUUUUCCCGUUGUGACUUUCUCCUUGUUCCCUUUUCUCCUCCUUCUUUGCAGACAAUGAGUAGCCACUGCUGUUUGCCCUGGCCCAUCAAUGAGAAGAUCUGCUCUUAGAGCCCUGCUUUCCUGCUGAAGGCCCUGAAAUCACCUGUGUUCCAGGCCACCUGCUAACAAUAAAUAAUGCUGCCCUGAUGUGGGGAAUUAGCUCAAGUGGUAGAGCGCUUGCUUAGCACGCAAGAGGUAGUGGGAUCGAUGCCCACAUUCUCCAAGCUUUAUUAUUUAGACAUCGUGUCUCCAAACACUCAGGUCUCCAAACCCAAGUUAGUGUCUGAGAACAGGAUGCUGCUUUGGUUCAAGACGUAGGAGCAGCAAUAAUAGAGGGCUGGUGAUGGCUCCCUCUUGGCAUUCAGUAUAGUGUAGAUCUACCAUGUAAUUAAUUCUCUGUUUCUUUGAGGAGCUGUGAAACCAAGGGACAUAUACAACUGCUCUUUUCUCCCUGUUUCUACCUGCAGCUUUGUCCUAAAUGUGAGACAAUUAUGAAAAGUGCAGCGCAGAGCCACUUGGGUAAAUACAGCCCCGGCUUUCUGCUCAGGGGACAGAGUUUGAGGCACUGCAGAGGAACCGGCCAAAGUAUGAGACCCAUAUAUUGAGAGUAACAGAGUGUAAAGUUCAAAAAAAUCAAAAUAUUUAAAGAUUUAUCAUGGGUCUUGAUGACAUGAUGGAAUCUCUCUACUCUCUGGACUUAUUAUGUGUGGUAAUAAAUUUACUUUUUAAAAGCCA
rnacentral:tRNA from 1 species